ensembl:lncRNA
AACCUUGAACAAACAUGUUUAUUUCCCUGCAAUUCAGAGUAAAGCAUCUGUUCUUGAAGAUACUCACUACUUUUUCACCUCACCUCUUGAAAGUUCUUUUGAGCUACUUUAAGCAGGUUCUUUGACCAUCAUGGCUCUGAAUCCUAUUCACAAUGCAUAGCUUUUCCUUGGGCACAGUGAACUAUUACAUCUCUGAAUAGCAGUCUUUAACAGAUCCAAGAUGCAACUUGUGUCUUUCAUCAUCGGACAGUUUAGUUUUCUUCAGGUUCUUCCUAGCUGCUAGUGGACACUUUUCCAAAAGAGUCAUUUUUCAGUGGAAUGGACAGUUGGGUUUGCAUCUGAUCCUCUCAAGAUGACAAGCAGGGCUGUCACUCAAACACACAAAAAUUGCUUUUCUAUCCAGCGCUAGUUAGGUAAGACUUUUUGUUGUCAGUGGUAAAACCAGAUGUUACUGUGCAACUGUUCAAGUCCCACAGACUUAUAUAUCCUAGAAGGAAAAAGAUGUUUAUAUUUUACUAUGAUCAUGGUUCUCCUAAUCACAGAAUGGUUAAAGUUGGAAGGGACCUUAAGAUCAUCGAGUUCCAAUCCCCCUGCCAUGGGCAGGGACACCUUCCACUGGACGAGGUUGCUCAAAGCCCCGUCCCACCUGGCCUUGAACAUGCCGUGAAAGAGUUGAAAAAGUUUGAAAUCCUCUCUUGUGCCAUUUUGCUAUUUACCCUGCAGGUUUUGGAACAGCUCAAGAAUUACAUAGUUCCACUACAGCUGGCCAGUAAAUAGAGUCAUAGAAUAGUUAGGGUUGGAAAGGACCUUAAGAUCAUCUAGUUCCAACCCCCUGCCAUGGGCAGGGACACCUCGCACUAAACCAUGUCGCCCAAGGCUCUGUCCAACCUGGCCUUGAACACCGCCAGGGAUGGAGCAUUCACAAGUUCCUUGGGCAACCCAUUCCAGUGCCUCACCACCCUCACUGUAAAGAACUUCUUCCUUAUAUCUAAUCUAAACUUCCCCUGUUUCAGUUUGAACCCAUUACCCUUUGUCCUACCACUGCAGUCCCUAAUGAUAGUUCUAUUUAGUGACAAUUCUGGCAAAUUUUACAUUAAAUGAAGCUGUUAUUUUGUCUUUGAAUCUAAGACUCUUCUUAAGAUCAAACUCAUACUGCAUUUGAAUCAUUUCUAAUUUUUGGUUGGGGUGGGGUAAGAGUUCUAAAAGCUUGUUUUGACAAAUUCUGCAUCUUUUCCCCCAGGUAUUUCUGCAUUCUUUUGUUUUACCUGGUAGGCAAGUUCAGUUUUAAGCAAGUCAGCAAUGUUUCAAUUGCAAGUAUUAAGCUGGACUGCAUCUCUGUUCUGCUGCAACUGUGUUCCAGCAGAACAUUACAGACUGUAGCACAGCCUAUUUCAUACUUUCCAGAGAUCCACUUCAUGCAUUGCAUGCUGCUUUUUUCCUUGCAUGUACAUCAGUGAAGUUGUAAGCAGUGUACGCACAGAUUCAAACUGUAAUAACUUCUGUUCCAAAGGCCUGUUUUUCAGUGGAGGGAUUAGCACUUCAUGGGCAUACCUCAAAUAAAAUCCUCUCCAAAGUUUUGUUUCUGUGUACUUAUAGAAUACCUCCACGGAAAAUGGUAAAACUGGUGAAUGAAUUUCACUACAGUGAUUAACUGUGCACAUUAAGACUAGCAGAAAGUUACAGUUUAUAGUCGGAGGAGUUGGGUGGAAGCAACUUGGAUACUUCUGCGGUUGAAUGUAGUGUGAUUUAAGAAGCCUAAAAAGGAAACUAAUCUCCUGCUGAGAAAUAGAAUAAAAUAAAAAGAAUGCUAGAACCUUUGAGAAUAACUUUCAGUAGAGAAAUUAGGAUAAAAUCCUGUCCCAAUUUAAAUAAAAUUUUGUUGAGCAGGGUUCUACCCAGCACACAGAUUUCCAGCUUGCUUUGACUAAACCCUAAAAAAAGAUUAAAGCUCCAUGGCAACUACUAUCUUAACUCCUGACAGCCAUAGUAUAAAUUACAUCUCGGAAAAACCUAAUACUGAAAGUUUUAUUUAGGUCACUAGUCAGGCUAGGAAAUGGUAGGCUUACAGAUACCACCCCAAACUUCAUUUUGUCCCUACAUGGUCUCAGUGAGGCAGAGAUUUUUGUGGGAGUGCAGGAACAGUAUUGGUUUUUUUUUUUAAUUGAUUUAUUUUAUGGAGAGGGGACGCGCAUGGACAGAAGUUGUGCAAUUAAUUCAUUCGCGCACAGGUGCCCCAGCAUUCAUACUUGUGCCACAGAAGCUCUGUCCCCCUUUCGGGCUUGUAUGGAGAUACUGCUUUUUUGCUGUUUGAAGUUAACAACAGACAGGUUAUUAUUCUGAGUGGUGGAAAUGAGUAUAGAUGGAUAUUAAAAGUCUAGAGUAAAAGGAGCCUGUGGUAAACAAUAACAAGACCCCCCAUGCUUCUGCUAUUUGCAUGAAGAUUAUCUGACAAUCAUCUUGUCAAUUGAACACAGUGAGUUGUAUAUGUUAACCAGUAGAGCUCGGAUGCAGGAUGCAAGGUAAUCUCACUAUUAAAUGGCCUUUGGGAGAAUUUUUAAGUUUAAAAAAUGGUAAAUGAUUUGGAUUUCUGAGUAUCAGGUCAUCGGAAUGUCUGCAUUGGUGUAGGACUCCAUGUUAAUUUCAUAAAACUUGGAAAUGUUGAAUAAUACUUGAAAUCAUUCAGAAACAGACCAUUUAGCAUUUUCUAAAUAAAAAUACAUACUUUGGCUAUGAUUAUCAAUGCAGUAAUCUGUAAUCUAAUGAUAGUAUACACUAGAGUGGCAAAUUCAUCUAUGUUAGGAUUAUGUUUUAUUUAGGAGUAGAAAGUAAGAAUAAUUUUGAAUCUUUCCCCUCUUGCACUAUUAAAAUAAUUGUAGUAAACUGCAAAGGUACUCAUGGAUGAUUUUAUGUAAAGAACACUGCAAUAAAACUUGUGAUUAUCAAACCAGAGCUAACCUAAACUGGGCUUCAGAAGACAGAACUCUCUGUUACCAAAGCACUGCCAGAUCAGGUAAGUUAACAGAGCAUGUGUUCAAGCCACAAGUAAACAUACUAUGCACUUUUGAAACCUGCUUGAGGAUACAAUAUGACGCUUCCCUGAAAAGUGACGUUUUAAGUAUUUAAAUUUUUCUUUAGAGAAAUCCCAAAUGUUUUGUCACAUGCUUGUGGCUGUUGCCACGGAGACAGAAUUGGUUUGGGGGAGGUGGGUCAGACAUGAGUCUCAUAUUUAAUAAAAUUCUUUCUGAUAACACCUCUCUCACUUGUAUUUAAUGAGUUGUCAUCUGUACUUGCUGGCAUGAGGUACAACAGCAGAGCAGAAAGCACCCACAGAUUUCAAAGGCUUGACUUGGUGGAGUGCACCCCAGUAACUGAACUGCAGCUUCAGUAACUGCCAACUGUAAAAGGCUGUUAAAACUUACAAGAAUUAAAUGAACUGAGAAGAAGUUUAAAACUUUUCUUAAUAAUUCAAAUCAUGCAAAUCCCUUGCAGGAGGAAUAUCCUGACUGUAACCAGAAACAGUCCUGCAUCUAUUUGGUCUCUGGAUGAAGGAUUAAAAUAAUAAUAUUAAAACCAUAAUCCUGUUAUUUUGGAAUAUGGCCUCUGGGCAGAAGUUUAUUCAAAAACUCAGUAGGAAAAAGUUGUUAUUAAAUUAAGAUCACGUUAGUAUGCUUGCCAAAACAACAGAUCAUUUGAUAAGGCUCCUUCUUGAGCCUUAUGGCCAAAGUAAAUCUGCAUAUAAAUUUACGUAAAAC